UGGGAAUAUUGGGCAAUGGGCGAAAGCCUGACCCAGCGACGCCGCGUGGGUGAUGAAGGCCUUCGGGUUGUAAAGCCCUGUCAUGCGGAAAGAACGACCCUGAGACGCAUACUCUCAGGGAGUGACGGUACCGCAGGAGGAAGCACCGGCUAACUCCGUGCCAGCAGCCGCGGUAAUACGGAGGGUGCAAGCGUUGUUCGGAAUUAUUGGGCGUAAAGGGCGCGUAGGCGGUAAUGUAAGUCAGAUGUGAAAUACUCCGGCUCAACCAGAGAACAGCAUCUGAAACUGCAUAACUAGAGUACAGAAGAGGGAAACGGAAUGCCCGGUGUAGAGGUGAAAUUCGUAGAUAUCGGGAGGAACACCAGUGGCGAAGGCGGUUUCCUGGUCCGAUACUGACGCUGAGGCGCGAAAGCGUGGGGAGCAAACAG
rnacentral:rRNA from 1 species